CCUACGGGAGGCAGCAGUAAGGAAUAUUGGUCAAUGGACGCAAGUCUGAACCAGCCAUGCCGCGUGCAGGAUGACGGCCCUCUGGGUUGUAAACUGCUUUUAUAGGGGACGAAAAAAGGGCUUUCUAGCUCGUCUGACGGUACCCUAGGAAUAAGCACCGGCUAACUCCGUGCCAGCAGCCGCGGUAAUACGGAGGGUGCAAGCGUUAUCCGGAUUUACUGGGUUUAAAGGGUGCGUAGGUGGGUCGGUAAGUCAGCGGUGAAAUCUUCGAGCUUAACUCGGAAACUGCCAUUGAUACUAUCGAUCUUGAAUCAUCUAGAGGUAAGCGGAAUAUGUCAUGUAGCGGUGAAAUGCUUAGAUAUGACAUAGAACACCAAUUGCGAAGGCAGCUUACUAUGGAUGCAUUGACACUGAGGCACGAAAGCGUGGGGAUCAAACAGGAUUAGAUACCCUGGUAGUCCACGCCCUAAACGAUGGAUACUCGACAUCAGCGAUACACUGUUGGUGUCUGAGCGAAAGCAUUAAGUAUCCCACCUGGGAAGUACGAUCGCAAGAUUGAAACUCAAAGGAAUUGACGG
rnacentral:rRNA from 1 species